UACGUAGGGUGCGAGCGUUAAUCGGAAUUACUGGGCGUAAAGCGUGCGUAGGCGGUUGGCAAAGUCAGCUGUGAAAGCCCCGGGCUCAACCUGGGAAUUGCAUUUGAGACUGCAUAGCUAGGGUGCGGAAGAGGGAAGCGGAAUUUCCGGUGUAGCGGUGAAAUGCGUAGAUAUCGGAAGGAACACCAGUGGCGAAAGCGGCUUCCUGGUCCAGCACCGACGUCAGGCACGAAAGCGUGGGGAGCAAACAGG
rnacentral:rRNA from 1 species